rnacentral:rRNA from 2 species
CUGUUGUGCAACCUGCCUGUAAGAUCGGGAUAACGCCGGGAAACCGGGGCUAAUACCGGAUAGUUUUUUCCUCCGCAUGGAGGAACAAAGGAAAGACGGUUCGGCUGUCACUUACAGAUGGGCCCGGGCGCAUUACUAGUGGUGGGGUAACGGUCACCAAGGCAACGAUGCGUAGCCGACCUGAAGAGGGUGAUCGGCCACAUUGGGACUGAGACACUGGCCCAAACUCAUACGGGAGGCAGCAGUAGGGAAUCUUCCGCAAUGGACGAAAGUCUGACGGAGCAACGCCGCGUGAGUGAAGAAGGCCUUCGGGUCGUAAAACUCUGUUGCCGGGGAAGAACAAGUGCCGUUCGAACAGGGCUGGCUGCCUUGACGGUACCCUGGCCAGAAAGCCACGGCUAACUACGU